CGGGUGUAGCUCAAUGGUAGAGUUCUGGCCUUCCAAGCCAGCUGUGAGGGUUCGAUCCCCUUCACCUCGA
rnacentral:tRNA from 1 species